rnacentral:lncRNA from 1 species
GACCAUACGAGUAUAUAAAAUACUAUACAAUAUUGAAAAUUAAUAACAGAUACAUAAGAAAAUAUAUUUAGCAAAGUAAUUGGAACUGAAUAAAAUAGUUAAGUCAAAACCAGUUGUUGGCAUGCCACGGGUUAUGUUCUUCUCAUAUAUUUUAUUAUGGUAUAAUACUUAACCCCUCACGGGAGGAAUUGUGCUUGAUAUUCAUAUGAUGGAGCCAGCCAUAAUCUUUUAAUCAGUCUUAUUGACGUCUGAAACUGACAUGUCAGUAACUGCUAGUAGACCUUUGUUAAUGUAUGUAUUAUUGUCGUUUUGUUUAGUUUCUGUUGAAACCUUUUCCGACAUUUGACUCGGAUUUCUCUUAAACUGAGUUUUACUAUGCGUAUUGUUGUGCGUUUUUUUUAUACAUUGGCUAGAGGUAUAGGGGAGGGUUGAGAUCUAAAAAAAAAAUUGUUAAACCCCGCCACAUUUUUGCACCUGUCCCAAGUCAGGAGCCUCUGGCCUUUGUUAGUCUUCGAAAAAAUUCGAAGUUUGUAUGACGUCCAUUAUCACUGAACUAGUAACAUAUUUCUUUAGGGGCCAACUGAAGGACUCCUCCGGAUGCGGAAGUUUCUCGCUGCAUUGAAAAUCCAUUGGUGGACUACGGCUGUUGUCUGCUCUAUUGUCGUGUUGUUUGUCUACUUGACACAUCACCAUUUCCAUUUUCAAUUUUAACCAUAGAUUGAUUUCAAAACCCCUUAAAUGUAAAUACUUUAUAAUGCUGGCUACGGCUCAUAGUGUUGUAUCUGGUGUUACUUAUUCUGCAUUGACAGUAAAGUUAAAAAAAAUCAGUACACAUAGUAAAAAGGGGAACUGUUAAACUAGAGAGAACCAAAUAAAACAACUAUUAAGAAAAGUAGUUUGUCCAAUAUUAAAGAGCCUACAUGGAGUAUUUUGAUUCAAUGAACCAUAAUAUACUAAAAGGUUCAAUAUAGUAAGAUCAUUAUAAUAUAGGGU